CCAGCCACCGCGGUUAUACAAAUAAUGCAAAUAAAAUUUUUUAGUGUCAGUUAAAUUGAAAGAAUUGAAAAAAUUAAAUUAAAUUUAUUAAGUAAAAUUUUAAAUUUUUAUAGUUUUUUAAUAAAUUUUUAUUUAAGCUGUUAAACUUUAUUAAUAAACUAGGAUUAGAUACCCUAUUAUUUAAAGUGUAAAAUUUAAAUACUUGAGUAGUAAUAGUUAUUAUCUUGAAACUUAAAGAAUUUGGCGGUGUUUUAGUCUAUUUAGAGGAAUCUGUUCUGUAAUCGAUAGCCCACGUUGAACCUUUCUUAAUUUUUAGUUUGUAUACCGCCGUUGUCAGAAUAUCUUAAUAGAGUAAAUUUCUUUAUUUAUUAGUGUAAAUUACAUCAGGUCAAGGUGCCGCUUAUAAUUAAGUAGAAAUGGAUUACAAUAAAGAUUAUUUAUAUGGUAAAUUGUUUGAAAAUAAUGGCUUUAAAGUGGAUUUAAUAGUAAAUUAAUAUAGAUUGAUUAAUUGAUUUUAGCUCUAAAACAUGUACACAUCGCCCGUCGCUCUUAUUAUUAAAGUAAGAUAAGUCGUAACAUAGUAGAUGUACCGGAAGGUGUUUCUAGAAUAA
rnacentral:rRNA from 1 species